UACGUAGGGUGCGAGCGUUAAUCGGAAUUACUGGGCGUAAAGCGUGCGCAGGCGGUUUUGUAAGCCAGGUGUGAAAUCCCCGGGCUCAACCUGGGAAUGGCAUUUGGGACUGGCAAGGCUGGAGUGCGGCAGAGGAGACGUGGAAUCCUGGUGUAGCAGUGAAAUGCGUAGAUAUCAGGAGGAAUACCGAUGGCGAAAGGCGCCCCCUGGGU
rnacentral:rRNA from 1 species